rnacentral:rRNA from 3 species
AAAACGACUCUCGGCAACGGAUAUCUCGGCUCUCGCAUCGAUGAAGAACGUAGCGAAAUGCGAUACUUGGUGUGAAUUGCAGAAUCCCGCGAACCAUCGAGUCUUUGAACGCAAGUUGCGCCCGAAGCCAUUAGGCCUAGGGCACGUCUGCCUGGGCGUCACGC